UAAUACAUGCAAGUCGAACGCUUCUUUUUCCACCGGAGCUUGCUCCACCGGAAAAAGAGGAGUGGCGAACGGGUGAGUAACACGUGGGUAACCUGCCCAUCAGAAGGGGAUAACACUUGGAAACAGGUGCUAAUACCGUAUAACAAUCGAAACCGCAUGGUUUUGAUUUGAAAGGCGCUUUCGGGUGUCGCUGAUGGAUGGACCCGCGGUGCAUUAGCUAGUUGGUGAGGUAACGGCUCACCAAGGCCACGAUGCAUAGCCGACCUGAGAGGGUGAUCGGCCACAUUGGGACUGAGACACGGCCCAAACUCCUACGGGAGGCAGCAGUAGGGAAUCUUCGGCAAUGGACGAAAGUCUGACCGAGCAACGCCGCGUGAGUGAAGAAGGUUUUCGGAUCGUAAAACUCUGUUGUUAGAGAAGAACAAGGAUGAGAGUAACUGUUCAUCCCUUGACGGUAUCUAACCAGAAAGCCACGGCUAACUACGUGCCAGCAGCCGCGGUAAUACGUAGGUGGCAAGCGUUGUCCGGAUUUAUUGGGCGUAAAGCGAGCGCAGGCGGUUUCUUAAGUCUGAUGUGAAAGCCCCCGGCUCAACCGGGGAGGGUCAUUGGAAACUGGGAGACUUGAGUGCAGAAGAGGAGAGUGGAAUUCCAUGUGUAGCGGUGAAAUGCGUAGAUAUAUGGAGGAACACCA
rnacentral:rRNA from 1 species